GCUUAACUCUGCUACCAGCUAAACCUUUCAUGGCUUGAAGCCUCUCAAUCUCCUCAUCUUUUGCCAAAAUAGAGCUCUUCAAAGAAGACACCUAGAAAGUCAACCAAAGGAGGGGAUGAUUACUCAUCUGCUCCUAAUUCAACUCCAGAAACCCUCUCAGCAAACUUUAAAGUGCUCAGAGUUUCAGAAUAUGAACUUACGUCUGAAUUGAUUUGGACGAACAUGAGCGUCUUUGCUUGACCACCUAUGUGGUAAGAUCAAAGGCAAGAUUCAAAGAUCAGAAGAAAGUCUACCUUGAAAAGAUUCAAGGUUCAAGGUUGGUUAAUAAAGAUUUACCAAGAGAAGUUUGUAGAAGUUGAGUAAGCUUGCUGUUUCUGUAUGGUACAUGAGAGCUCUUUUGAGAAAGGGAAAAAAUAACAUCUCCAAGGGCAGCUAGUGAUCUGUUUAUAUGCUGUGCUUCUUUGAGCCUAUCCCCAAUUACUUCAGAACGAUCUACUCUUUCACUUCCAGCCAAAUCUACCAAAUGAAGAUUACCAGCCAUAGUGCAACCAGUCUUUAAGUCCUUCCCGGUGGAAGAUCUAUGUAACUUCCUGGUUUCAGUUGAAACACCUCAUGGAAAUUAUGACCAGCAUGGUGUAUUAAUGAGGCUGAUUGCUCUGUCGAAUAUACAAAUGAGUAAAACUGACUACUUAAACACGG